GACGUAGGGCGCGAGCGUUGUCCGGAUUUAUUGGGCGUAAAGAGCUCGUAGGCGGCUUGUCGCGUCGGCUGUGAAAACCCGGGGCUCAACUCCGGGCCUGCAUUCGAUACGGGCAGACUAGAGUUCGGUAGGGGAGACUGGAAUUCCUGGUGUAGCGGUGAAAUGCGCAGAUAUCAGGAGGAACACCGGUGGCGAAGGCGGGUCUCUGGGCCGAUACUGACGCUGAGGAGCGAAAGCGUGGGGAGCGAACAGG
rnacentral:rRNA from 1 species